GACGUAGGGUCCAAGCGUUGUCCGGAUUUACUGGGCGUAAAGAGCGCGUAGGCGGUCUUGUAAGUGUGAAGUGAAAUCUCCAGGGCUCAACCCGGAAACUGCUUUACAUACUGCAUGACUAGAGUGAUGCAGAGGUUUGUGGAAUUCCUGGUGUAACGGUGAAAUGUGUUGAUAUCAGGAGGAACACCGAUGGCGAAGGCAGGUCUCUGGGCAUUAACUGACGCUGAGGAGCGAAAGCAUGGGGAGCGAACAGG
rnacentral:rRNA from 1 species